UACGAAGGGGGCUAGCGUUGUUCGGAAUCACUGGGCGUAAAGCGCACGUAGGCGGAUUCUUAAGUCAGGGGUGAAAUCCCGAGGCUCAACCUCGGAACUGCCUUUGAUACUGGGAAUCUUGAGUGUGGUAGAGGUUGGUGGAACAGCAAGUGUAGAGGUGAAAUUCGUAGAUAUUUGCUAGAACACCAGUGGCGAAGGCGGCCAACUGGACCAUAACUGACGCUGAGGUGCGAAAGCGUGGGGAGCAAACAGG
rnacentral:rRNA from 1 species